UCAUUGGAGAGUUUGAUCCUGGCUCAGGACGAACGCUGGCGGCGUGCUUAACACAUGCAAGUCGUACGGUAAGGCCCUUUCGGGGGUACACGAGUGGCGAACGGGUGAGUAACACGUGAGUAACCUGCCC
rnacentral:rRNA from 1 species